GGGGGCCCCACGGCCCACCUGCACCUGCUGGCCGUGCACCGCGCCUUCCGGCAGCAGGGCAAGGGCUCGGUCCUGCUCUGGCGCUACCUGCACCACCUGGGCAGCCAGCCGGCCGUGCGCCGGGCCGUGCUCAUGUGUGAGGCCAGGCUGGUGCCCUUCUACCAGAGGUUCGGCUUCCAGCCCGUGGGCCCCAGUGCCGUCUCCAUAGGCUCAGUGGUCUUCACGGAGAUGCAGUGCUCCAUGCGGGACCUCGUCUCCCAGCGCAGGAACAGUGACUGCUGAACUGGCCGCCACGUGGGGGGCCCACGGCCGGUUGCCUGAGGUGUGGGGAGGCAGGCUGGGGGGUCCUACCCUGUCCCGGUGUCCCCUUCUCUGCCCUGGCCUUCCCCCAACUCGCCCCGGCCCGAAGGGAGACGGGGACGCCCAGGGGGUCGUGGAGAGGCUGGGGACUGAAAUAAAGAGAUGGGGGGGGGCCGCUGCUCCUGCCAGGCUGCCCUGCUGGGGCCCGAGUCACGUGUCCUCCAGUCUGUCUGCACCAGGCCCUCCGGAGCCCCCCCAUGCCAAACGGUGCCCCAGUGUGUGGCUGUGCCGGUUAACUGGGGAUCUUGGGAGGCCUCCUGCAGCCCUGCCACGGUGUCCUCGCCAAAGGAGCCAGGUGCUCGGGGGCCCUUCACCCCCCCAGAGCCAGGGCUGCCCCCCCCGGCCUCAGCCCUGGAAUGGGGGUAGUGGGCGCAGAGAGGGGCAGGGCCGCCCCCCAGCUCACCCCCACCCCAGGCAGCCUGAGUCCUCUGCCCCCAGUGACAGUGGUCGUGCCCCACCAUCGGGCGGCUGAAGGGCCGUGGGUUGAAGGGCUCUGAGGGAGGCCCAGGGAGUGGACAGAUGCUGAGCCCCCACCCCUGGCACUGUUUCUGCCAGGAAGGCCUUUCCCUCAGCUGGGCUGGCCCCUCAGGAUCCCCACCAGGUGAGGUUGGGGGACCACAGGAGUCCAAAGAUCCGACCCCACCCUCCUCCGGAAGUCCCUGAGCCCCUCUACAUGACCACAACCCAGUUUCUGGUCCAACCAAAUCCCCAGGAAGUUCCGUUGUUUCCCACGGUCUUUGGGCCACGCCCCUGCCCGUGGGUGACCUGCCACCCCACCCGCCGAAUAAAGUUCCAGCUUUCAUUCCACCUGAGGCCUCCGGUCAGAAGGUGGUAUUUCCCUAAAGAAGAUCAUUUAAUAUAUUUCAGACAUCAUCCACACGAAGUUAGCGUUACUUUAAAAAAUUAGGACCAUAAUAUAAACUAGCUUAAAAAAAAAAAGGUGGGGGACCCAAUUGACCUUAGGCAACCCCUGAGAGUUAUGUCCUUGGGGCGGCCCUGCCCCCACGGGAGCAGGAGUGAGGCAGAGGGUGGCAGAGCCAGUGGGCAGGCGUCAGACCAGC
rnacentral:lncRNA from 1 species